rnacentral:rRNA from 1 species
AUGAAGAGGGAGGCCGUGCGUAGCUACUGGGAUGCGGUGGCGAAAGAUGACCGGAAGCUCAGCAAGUUCUCUCUUGGCUGCCUGGAGAGCAGAGUAUUCUCUUGGUCCAUCGAAGAUAUCUUCAACAGGGACCUCCUCAGGCAGCAGGUCAAAAGCAUACCGGAUACCUUCACGUCAUUGCACACUUAUUUGAACUCGUUCAAAUGCCCUCUGAUUGAAGAAGUACAUGCUGAUGUCUUUUCAUCAUUGGACGGUUAUGCUCAGGCAAACUUUAUAGAAAUAAUGUGGGUGGAGAAACUUGAUGAUGAGAAAUCAAUAUUCUGUUUUGAGGUUUCCGAGCCAUCAAAGAAUCCGAAGUCGAGGGAGACAUACGAUCCCAAAGAAGGGGACAUCAUGGUUGUGUCCUUGCAGAAACCACAACAUGUGUCUGAUUUGACACAAAAUAAGGGAUCAUAUGUUUUAGGUUCAGUUCUAAAAUGUGGAGACAAAGAAGACGGAGACAUCCCACCCAAUUGUUGUAUUGUUCGGUUUUCAUCCACUAUUCCUGUUGAAGUAGAUCCAGAAACAAAAAUUCCUACGGGGCCAUCAUUUGCUGUGUUUCUCAUAAAUAUGAAGACAUACAACCGUAUAUGGGGUUGCCUUUAUGCGGAAGGAGAGCAUCAGAACGGAAACAGUAGUACUGGCAUCGUCGAUCUGGUGUGGCGAUACAAGCAAAGGAAGGUAGUGGAUGAUCUCUCGUCAUGCUCGGAGAUAUCUCAAUGCUUCACUCAUAGAUCAAUUGAUGGUCUUGGCCUUGAGAAGUUCAACUUAAAUGAUUCACAGCUGAAUGCAGUAGCAGACUGUGUCUCAGUAAUGGAGAACCACUCACCUUCCCUAAAACUAAUAUGGGGGCCCCCUGGGACAGGUAAAACAAAAACUAUCAGCACUAUCCUGUGGGCAAUGCUCAUCAAGGGCUUAAAGACACUUACCUGUGCACCAACCAAUACUGCCGUAUUGGAAGUUGCAUCUCGAAUUGUCAGGCUUGUUGGAGAGUCCUCAGAUGGUAGCGUCUGCUUUCUGAAUAACAUUGUCCUGUUUGGAAAUAAGGAGAGGAUGAAAAUAGAUGGUGAUCAUGAUCUUUCCACGGUAUUCCUUGACUCACGUGCAAAGCGGUUGUCGUCAUGUUUCGUACCACAUACUGGUUGGAGGCAUUGCUUGUGCUCACUGAUAGAUCUUAUUGAGAAUCCUGUGACCAGGUACAAAUUGCAUAUUGAGCAUAUUCUUAGGGAAAAGUAUUUGAAAGAUAGAUACAACAAACUUUCUGAGGAUUUGUGUUGUUGCAUUGAGAUACUGUAUAAUGAUUAUCCAAGAAGCUCUGAAGCAGAACAGAGUUUUCAGUGUAUGCUGGAAGUGCUUGAAUUAAUCGAAAUUCUCCAUGCUUUUAUAAAUCGUGACAGGGGUAAUGAUGAUAUAUGGUCAGAGGAACUUCUUGAGGGCAAAGUAGAAGAGGACAGUAAUCCUAUUUCCUGGCCUGAGAAGCUAGCCUGUGUGCGGACUAACACAUGCAGUAAAUCCAAGUUCAAGCUGGCCAGAUCCCUGUGUGUGCAAGAAUUAAGAUAUCUUCGCAAAAACUUGGAGCUUCCAAAUUAUUACACCAAGAGGGAAAUUCAACUGCAUCUUCUGCAGAGCGCGAAAUGCAUUCUUUGUACAGUUUCCAGUUCUUUCACGUUGUACGGUGUGCUCAUGGACGAUUCUUCUUCUGUUAAGUUGCUGAUUGUUGAUGAGGCUGCACAGCUUAAAGAGUGUGAGACCUUAAUUCCCUUGCAGCUGCCAGGCAUAAAGCAGGCUGUUUUUAUUGGAGACGAAUAUCAGUUACCUGCUCUGGUGAAAAGCAAAAUAUCUGACAAUGCUAAAUUCGGGAGAAGUGUUUUUGAGAGGUUAAGUAUGCUGGGUUAUAGUAAGCACCUUCUCAAUGUGCAAUACAGGAUGCAUCCAGAAAUAAGCAAGUUUCCAGUUGUUACGUUUUACGAUGGCAAGAUAUCUGACGGUCCCAAUGUCACUACUAAGAGCUAUGAAAAGAGAUUCUUAGCAAGCAAAAUCUUUGGGUCAUACUCAUUCAUAAAUGCAGAUGGAGGACAUGAAACAACUGAGAAGCACGGACGUAGCCUGAAAAACACAAUUGAAGCUGCUGCAGUUUCGCGGAUAGUGCAGAGGUUGUUCAAAGAGUCAUUCUCUACAGGAAUCAAAAUCUCAGUUGGUGUUGUGUCCCCAUAUAAUGCUCAAGUUAGAGCAAUCUCUGAAAAGCUUGGGAAAUCCUAUGAUAGGUAUGACGGUUUCUCUGUGAAAGUGAAAUCUGUGGAUGGUUUCCAAGGCGCGGAGGAAGAUAUUAUUAUCAUAUCAACAGUGAGGAGCAAUAAAGCUGGUUCUGUUGGAUUUCUCACAAACAUGCAGAGGACCAAUGUGGCUCUCACAAGAGCUAAGCACUGUUUAUGGAUAGUAGGAAACGGGACGACUUUAUCCAACAGCAAGUCUGUUUGGCAGAAUAUAGUCAAAGAUGCGCAAGACCGAGAUUGCUAUUUUGAUGCCGAUGAAGAUAAAGAUCUAUCAAAUGCAGUAAUCAAGGCCGUCAUCGAGCUCGACGAUGCUGAUAAUCUAGUGAAAAUGGACUCGCUGCACAUAAGCAAGCCAAGGUUUCAGGUAUUACCAAAAGCCUUCUGA